AGCAACAGGGAUGCUAGCAAUGGAACACAAGCAAUGUUACUUGAAUAUUGGAAGCAAAUCUUUUGGAAUCACUGAAAAUUCACGAAGCUGCGGUGCUAACAAACCUCAUCAUGUAUUGCAGGCAUUUCUAGUUCUACGUGUGUUUCAAUGUGAAUGCUACAGGAAAAGCAGCAACCAUUAGGUUCACCGGACACAACCGGUACUUGGACACUAUAAAGAAACCAGGUGACAAGCUCGAUAAAUGCUUAGACACUGAACUAUCAUAUGACAUAAAUAAGCUGACCAGCAGCAACGGGUCAAACAAGACAACUCUCUUUAAAUAAAACUAGGUGACACUAUGGUUAAAUAGGCAAUUAAGUUAUCAUGUCAUGUGGCACACAAACAAGGUCAGAAGCAACUGAAUGCUGAAGAACAAGUAAACAUGGUUGACAAACAGGCUAAAGAACAAGUAAACAUGGUUGACAAACAGGCUAAGUGCAGAAACAAGUGGAUCUGACAGGAAAGCAGCAAUGCAAAGAGCAACAGUAAUCAAC
rnacentral:lncRNA from 1 species